rnacentral:rRNA from 1 species
AGUGAACGCUGGCGGUAGGCCUAACACAUGCAAGUCGAACGGCAGCACAGUAAGAGCUUGCUCUUACGGGUGGCGAGUGGCGGACGGGUGAGGAAUACAUCGGAAUCUACUUUUUCGUGGGGGAUAACGUAGGGAAACUUACGCUAAUACCGCAUACGACCUACGGGUGAAAGCAGGGGAUCUUCGGACCUUGCGCGAUUGAAUGAGCCGAUGUCGGAUUAGCUAGUUGGCGGGGUAAAGGCCCACCAAGGCGACGAUCCGUAGCUGGUCUGAGAGGAUGAUCAGCCACACUGGAACUGAGACACGUACCAGACUCCUACGGGAGGCAGCAGUGGGGAAUAUUGGACAAUGGGCGCAAGCCUGAUCCAGCCAUACCGCGUGGGUGAAGAAGGCCUUCGGGUUGUAAAGCCCUUUUGUUGGGAAAGAAAAGCAGCAGGUUAAUACCCCGCUGUUCUGACGGUACCCAAAGAAUAAGCACCGGCUAACUUCGUG